rnacentral:lncRNA from 1 species
AAUGGUUUGGGCUCUGGAGAGAUAUGACUAGAAAAUUAAUUUUCCCUAUGGAAAGAAUUGCAUCCAUUUUCCUAUGUUUUUUUUUUUUUUCAGCUCUUUAGCCCUCUUCAGACCAUACUGGCCCGCUAGUGAGUAUUCUAGGAGUUUGGCAGAAGGUAUGCAGAGCCAGACUUUGCUGCUCCUCUCUUCUUUCUGGAUGCUUUCCUACAAAUACUAAAAAGCAACUCUGUAAUAUCAUAGCAUUUCUUCUCACAAGCAUCUAUGCAUGUUUUCUUGUUAGUAAGCACCAUAUGUCACUCUCUAAACGGCCCAGUACUGUAUUUUCUGGGACCCAAGUGUGCGUGGUAAGUAACAUCACAGCUCCUCCAUAUGAUGUACCAGCUAUACAUUACACAAAACUUUAAUAAACAAGUCACUUUCAAUCAUUUCCCCCCUUUCAGAAAUGCAUUUAUAUAUGUGUUUUCUUACCCAUGGUGAAGAAGUGUUUAGAAUAUGUAAUAUGUCAUUAAGGGUAACAGAUGUAUUUAAUAAAGGCUUUUUUGGAUGUCUGACUGUUCAUUGGGAUAAAACCUUGAAGUCAGGGCAGUCAGUUCUGAAAGGCAACAGUCAAUAAAAAAAUUAUUAAAAAACCCCCAAACAACCUGAAACCCAUGCCACUAUCCCUGAGUGAAAAUCUACAAUGAAAUGAAUCACCCUUUUAACUAAUUGAAAAAUUCUUUAGACGCUUUUCUCCUACAGCAACUGGGCCAGCAUUCGGCUGAUUGAUGGGGCUUGUGAAAUGAUCUUUAGGACUUUCCACUCUGAUCAAAAGCCUUCCCAACUCCUAAAGGUCCAGCUGGCCCGGAGAUGGAGCGAGGGAUGUCUUCAUAGAUCCCUGGGAUGCAUUCAAAAAUGCAGUCUUUCUUUCAGCAAUGCCUCCUUUCAGACUUUCUUUCCUGGCACACUUUUCCUAUAACCUGCCUUAUCUACACUCUUUGCGAGCUUUUUUACAGACGACCAUCUAUUUUUUUGUGCUGUCUGGUGCCGGAUAUGAGUACUGUUUGUUGGCCCUUUGAUCACAGCGUAGUAAAGAUAGUAGCAAUAAUCUCAUGGUUUAAAGAGGCAGCUUGCCUGAAUUUAUUGUCGUGGUAUAAAAUCUGUUAAAAGAUCACUUUUUGCAUUGAACGCAACCUUGUGAGUUGAGAGCCGUUUAACGGCUCAAAGACAGUUGUGUUUUCCAUGGUUGUUUCACAUUUUUUACAUAGAACUAAAAAUGGAUGGUUGUAAUAUGCAAUGUGCUUAGCUACGUGGUGGUCGUGUGCCGUUACCAUCUCACAAACACCUUUGGCUGCUGAAAGCCUUCCUCCCUCUGCCUCUGGUUUUGCAUUUUCACCAUAGCCAGGAGUCACCACCAGCACAGCUCUGCCAGAGAGCUGUAUCCAGGGGAGUAAAGGCACACUCCUCUGCUUCAGGCAGGUUCUGCCGGGGCAGUUCAAACAGCUGGCAAAGGACUAACCAGUGCACUUUGUCUCGGGCAGAUGAGGAAAACAGCAGCACAACGCCAAUUUAUGGAGCUACGGGAAGAGCCCUGAUUUCUGGGAAUGCCCAUUCCAGAUGCCUGGCAUCUUUAGCCUGCAGAGCCAGGUCUGGAAGAGGGUGUUUACCGGCAGCCUCUAAAAUAAUGACUGUUUUCUGAGGCUACCAUCACGCGGUCCUUGUAGCAAUGGCUUUGUGGCACUUGAAGAUGUCCAUUCCCACCCGUAAACUGGAAAUUACCCUCUUCCUGGUACAGCUCAGAUGUCAGAAUAAAUAAUCUGGGCCCUCCUUGUGUUUCA